GGAUGAACGCUAGCGACAGGCUUAACUACAUGCAAGUCGAGGGGCAGCAUGAGGGUAGCAAUACCCUUCGAUGGCGACCGGCGCGACUGGUGAGUAACACGUAUGCAACCUGCCCCGCGCAGGGGGAGUAAUCCGGAGAAAUCUGGUCUAAUACCCCGUACGCCCCGCCCCGCAUGGGAGGGGUGAAAGGAUCUUUUCCGGCACGGGAUGGGCAUGCGGCGCAUUAGCUAGUCGGCGGGGUGACGGCCCACCGAGGCGACGAUGCGUAGGGGUUCUGAGAGGAAGGUCCCCCACACUGGUACUGAGACACGGACCAGACUCCUACGGGAGGCAGCAGUGAGGAAUAUUGGUCAAUGGACGGAGGUCUGAACCAGCCAAGUCGCGUGAGGGAGGACGGCCCUACGGGUUGUAAACCUCUUUUGCGGGGGAGUAAAGUGCGCAACGCGUUGCGCAUUGCGAGUACCCCGAGAAAAAGCAUCGGCUAAUUCCGUGCC
rnacentral:rRNA from 1 species